GGGGAAAUGCGCAUAGUGGCGAUUGCAGCGGUCUGUAAAACCGUGACAUUAGAAACAUCGAAGGUUCGACUCCUUCUUUCCCCA
rnacentral:tRNA from 1 species